GUGUUUACUUCAGCAGCACAUAUACUAAAAUCUGAAUCAUAAAGAAAUUAUCAUGGUUCCUGAGCCAAGAUGACACACAAAUUCAUAAAUUAUUAUGAGAUUUC
rnacentral:snRNA from 1 species